rnacentral:rRNA from 1 species
AGUGAACGCUGGCGGCAGGCCUAACACAUGCAAGUCGAGCGGCAGCGCGGGGGCAACCCUGGCGGCGAGCGGCGGACGGGUGAGGAAUUCGUCGGAAUCUGCCUUUUUGUGGGGGAUAACGUAGGGAAACUUACGCUAAUACCGCAUACGUCCUACGGGAGAAAGUGGGGGACCGCAAGGCCUCACGCAGAAAGAUGAGCCGACGACCGAUUAGCUAGUUGGUGGGGUAAAGGCCCACCAAGGCGACGAUCGGUAGCUGGUCUGAGAGGAUGAUCAGCCACACUGGGACGGAGACACGGCCCAGACUCCUACGGGAGGCAGCAGUGGGGAAUAUUGGACAAUGGGCGCAAGCAUGAUCCAGCCAUGCCGCGUGUGUGAAGAAGGCCUUAGGGUUGUAAAGCACUUUUGUCCGGAAAGAAAUCCCUGGAGCUAAUACCUUCGGGGGAUGACGGUACCGGAAGAAGAAGCACCGGCUAACUUCGUG